rnacentral:misc_RNA from 1 species
GAUGAAGAACGUAGCGAAAUGCGAAAAGUAGUGUGAAUUGCAGAAUUCAGUGAAUCAUCGAAUCUUUGAACGCACAUUGCGCCCCUUGGUAUUCCAUGGGGCAUGCCUGUUCGAGCGUCAUUUGUACCCUCAAGCUCUGCUUGGUGUUGGGUGUUUGUCCCGUUUCACGCGUGGACUCGCCUUAAAGCAAUUGGCAGCCGGCAUACUGGCCUUGGAGCGCAGCACAAUUUGCGCUUCUUGCCCUGAAUGUCAGCGUCCAUCAAGUCUACAUUUUUACUCUUGACCUCGGAUCAGGUAGGGAUACCCGCUGAACUUAAGCAUAUCAAUAAGCGGAGGA